UACGGAGGGGGCGAGCGUUAUUCGGAAUUAUUGGGCGUAAAGGGCGCGUAGGCGGCUGUACAAGUCAACGGUGAAAUCCCUCGGCUCAACUGAGGAACUGCCUUUGAAACUGUACGGCUUGAGGCCGGGAGGGGGUAGCGGAAUUCCCAAUGUAGCGGUGAAAUACGUAGAGAUUGGGAAGAACACCAGUGGCGAAGGCGGCUAUCUGGACGGUUUCUGACGCUAAGACGCGAAAGCGUGGGGAGCAAACAGG
rnacentral:rRNA from 1 species